UAGGCGCACUGGUGAGUAACACGUGGAUGAUCUGCCCUUUUGUGGGGAAUACCGCUGGGAAACCGGUGACAAUACCGCAUAAGCCCGAGAGGGGAAAGCAGAAAUGCGCAGAAGGAGGAGUCCGCGGUCGAUUAGUUAGUUGGCAGGGUAAAAGCCUACCAAGACUGUGGUCGAUAGCCGGCCUGAGAGGGCACACGGCCACACUGGCACUGAAACACGGGCCAG
rnacentral:rRNA from 1 species